UCAAACUUGGUCAUUUAGAGGAAGUAAAAGUCGUAACAAGGUCUCCGUUGGUGAACCAGCGGAGGGAUCAUUAUCAGAGUGUAACAACUCCCUACACCCACUGUGAACCUAUACCAAGUUUGUUGCUCCGGCGGAACCGCCCUGGGCGCGCCCGUUCUCGCGGCGUGCCCCAGACUCAGGCGCCCGCCGGGGAUCUCAACCACUAUUCUUUGCAUUUUUCCAGACUUCUGAGUGUGAUUUUUCCAAAAUCAAAAUUAAAACUUUCAACAACGGAUCUCUUGGCUCUGGCAUCGAUGAAGAACGCAGC
rnacentral:misc_RNA from 1 species